AGUUUUGAAUCAUGGCUCAGGACGAACGCUGGCGGCGUGCUUAACACAUGCAAGUCGAACGGUAAGGCCCUUUCGGGGGUACACGAGUGGCGAACGGGUGAGUAACACGUGGGUGAUCUGCCCUGCACUUUGGGAUAAGCCUGGGAAACUGGGUCUAAUACCGAAUAUUCCUCAUGGACUGCAUGGUUUGUGGGGGAAAGCUUUUGCGGUGUGGGAUGGGCCCGCGGCCUAUCAGCUUGUUGGUGGGGUGAUGGCCUACCAAGGCGACGACGGGUAGCCGGCCUGAGAGGGUGUCCGGCCACACUGGGACUGAGAUACGGCCCAGACUCCUACGGGAGGCAGCAGUGGGGAAUAUUGCACAAUGGGCGCAAGCCUGAUGCAGCGACGCCGCGUGAGGGAUGACGGCCUUCGGGUUGUAAACCUCUUUCAAUAGGGACGAAGCGCAAGUGACGGUACCUAUAGAAGAAGCACCGGCCAACUACGUGCCAGCAGCCGCGGUAAUACGUAGGGUGCGAGCGUUGUCCGGAAUUACUGGGCGUAAAGAGCUCGUAGGUGGUUUGUCGCGUUGUUCGUGAAAACUAGAGGCUUAACCUCUGGCGUGCGGGCGAUACGGGCAGACUGGAGUACUGCAGGGGAGACUGGAAUUCCUGGUGUAGCGGUGGAAUGCGCAGAUAUCAGGAGGAACACCGGUGGCGAAGGCGGGUCUCUGGGCAGUAACUGACGCUGAGGAGCGAAAGCGUGGGGAGCGAACAGGAUUAGAUACCCUGGUAGUCCACGCCGUAAACGGUGGGUACUAGGUGUGGGUUUCCUUCCUUGGGAUCCGUGCCGUAGCUAACGCAUUAAGUACCCCGCCUGGGGAGUACGGCCGCAAGGCUAAAACUCAAAGGAAUUGACGGGGGCCCGCACAAGCGGCGGAGCAUGUGGAUUAAUUCGAUGCAACGCGAAGAACCUUACCUGGGUUUGACAUGCACAGGACGCCGGCAGAGAUGUCGGUUCCCUUGUGGCCUGUGUGCAGGUGGUGCAUGGCUGUCGUCAGCUCGUGUCGUGAGAUGUUGGGUUAAGUCCCGCAACGAGCGCAACCCUUGUCUCAUGUUGCCAGCACGUAAUGGUGGGGACUCGUGAGAGACUGCCGGGGUCAACUCGGAGGAAGGUGGGGAUGACGUCAAGUCAUCAUGCCCCUUAUGUCCAGGGCUUCACACAUGCUACAAUGGCCGGUACAAAGGGCUGCGAUGCCGUGAGGUGGAGCGAAUCCUUUUUAAAGCCGGUCUCAGUUCGGAUCGGGGUCUGCAACUCGACCCCGUGAAGUCGGAGUCGCUAGUAAUCGCAGAUCAGCAACGCUGCGGUGAAUACGUUCCCGGGCCUUGUACACACCGCCCGUCACGUCAUGAAAGUCGGUAACACCCGAAGCCGGUGGCCUAACCCCUUGGGAAGGAAGCCUUCAAAGGGGGAAUCGCCAAUGGGAACAAAUUCUUACCAAGGAACCCUAACCGAAAGGUGCGGUGGAACACCCUCCCUUUCAAA
rnacentral:rRNA from 1 species